UUGUCUCGCGUUCCGUCGUUGCUCUGGUGCCCUGGACUGCUGUGAAUGUGUUUUUAUGCCCUACUAGUGUUGCCUGGGGGUGCUUUUAUGUGUGCACCCUGGAAGAUAGGUCCAGAAGCCUUGCGAUUUCUUAGAUUAAAGAUACUUUCGACGUAUUCAUUGCGGUGAACAACGCGGUUGGGACAGCACACUCACGACGUGGGAAGGUCACAGAAAUGUUGAAAGACAUCAGAUAGGGCAUACGCUUCACCUGUGCAACUUCGUCAUGUGCUCCACGGCAGCACAAGCCUUUACGGCUGUGCCACUAUGUGUGGAAACGUCGUAGCGGAUGAAUGUGAAUUAUGGAUCUCCAAGUGGCGUCGCCCGCGUCAUUUUCAAGAUUUUACCCGUUUUGAAGGCAAUAGGGCUGUUGAUAGGGAG